rnacentral:lncRNA from 1 species
AUUUGACUCUGAACGCAAGUCACAAACAUCACCAGUUGCGGUGUUCUGAGCAGAAAGGGAAAGGGCAAGCCAAAUUGUGUUGUUUAAUGCUGAUUGACUUUGAAAUUUCUUUUGAAACAAAACUUGCUUUUGGUGAAGACCUAAUCUGACAUGAGUGCAGAGAAAAUGAAGAAGUAGCAGCAUUAUUACUAUCAUCCAAUCUUUAUUAAAAGCACACUAUGAAAAAAUCUGUUCUGAAGAGAAUAGGAACUGCUCUGACAUUUAAGCAAUUUUCAAACAUCCAGAACCAUUCAGGUUUUCCCCACGAUCCAAAAGUUCACUUUCAGGAAAGACCUACAUCAGUACCUGUUUUUGCUAACCGAAAGAAAUUUGGAGAGGAUUUUUGCUUUUACAAAAAAAGACAAAAGGAGAAGUUAUGUUUGUUUUGCAGUAAGCUGUCAUAGAGACCGCACACAUUCCGAGUAGCGAGAGUGGCGCCGCCAAGCUCGUCUUCUGGGAACUACACUCAGCAUCUCAACAUCGAACCACCACAGCUUUGAACCGUGUCUGUGAGCCUCUGUGCUUUAUCUCUAUUUACUUUAGUUGGCUAUUUUUUGGGUCUGUGAACACUCAAAAAUGUUUCCCAUAUAAAUUAAUGGAAACUGUUUCUUUGCUUUACACCGUUUCAGCUUAUGAAAUGUUACAUAGGAAUGCUGUACUUUCAAAUAGCGGGGGAAACGUGUAUCUCAUAAUAAAGCUGAAAGAAAAAGAAUAAAAAUAAAAUAA